GGGCAUGCCUCUAGACUUUGCCUUACUGUUCAUGGACAGGCAGGGGACAGUGUAUGCGAGAGUAAUGUGGAGUUUAUGCCAGCUUCAGUCAGAUUAACCCAUGCUGAAUAAAUAGCAGUACUCCUACAUUA
ensembl:snoRNA